rnacentral:ncRNA from 2 species
GAUUUAUACAGAAGCGGCGAGAGAAUAGGCUCCCUGACCCGCUGGCAACCUUCAUCAUGUGAAAGGUGCCAAUUCCUGCCCGCCCGGUCAGUUGCCGGCGGGAGAUAUAAGCU